CCUACGGGUGGCAGCAGUGGGGAAUAUUGGACAAUGGGGGGAACCCUGAUCCAGCCAUGCCGCGUGUGUGAAGAAGGCCCUCGGGUUGUAAAGCGCUUUCAGUGAGGAAGAACGCCUGGUGGUUAAUACCCAUCAGGAAAGACAUCACUCACAGAAGAAGCACCGGCUAACUCCGUGCCAGCAGCCGCGGUAAUACGGAGGGUGCGAGCGUUAAUCGGAAUUACUGGGCGUAAAGCGCGCGUAGGUGGCUUGAUAAGCCGGUUGUGAAAGCCCCGGGCUCAACCUGGGAACGGCAUCCGGAACUGUCAAGCUAGAGUGCAGGAGAGGAAGGUAGAAUUCCCGGUGUAGCGGUGAAAUGCGUAGAGAUCGGGAGGAAUACCAGUGGCGAAGGCGGCCUUCUGGACUGACACUGACACUGAGGUGCGAAAGCGUGGGUAGCAAACAGGAUUAGAUACCCGAGUAGUC
rnacentral:rRNA from 1 species